rnacentral:rRNA from 1 species
AGUCGAGGGGUAGCAGGAUUAAGCUUGCUUAAUUGCUGACGACCGGCGCACGGGUGCGUAACGCGUAUGCAACCUACCUUAUACUGGGGUAUAGCCCGGAGAAAUUCGGAUUAAUCCCCCAUAGUACUGUUUGAUCGCAUGGUCAGGCAGUUAAAGCAUUGCGGUAUAAGAUGGGCAUGCGUCCUAUUAGCUAGAUGGUGAGGUAACGGCUCACCAUGGCUACGAUAGGUAGGGGGCCUGAGGGGGUGGUCCCCCACACUGGUACUGAGACACGGACCAGACUCCUACGGGAGGCAGCAGUGAGGAAUAUUGGUCAAUGGGCGCAAGCCUGAACCAGCCAUGCCGCGUGCAGGAAGAAUGCCCUAUGGGUUGUAAACUGCUUUUAUUUGGGAAUAAACCUCUUUACGUGUAGAGAGCUGAAGGUACCAAAUGAAUAAGCACCGGCUAACUCCGUGCCAGCAGCCGCGGUAAUACGGAGGGUGCAAGCGUUAUCCGGAAUCAUUGGGUUUAAAGGGUCCGCAGGCGGAUUUAUAAGUCAGUGGUGAAAUCCUAUCGCUUAACGAUAGAACUGCCAUUGAUACUGUAAGUCUUGAAUUCGGUCGGAGUGGGCGGAAUGUGUAGUGUAGCGGUGAAAUGCAUAGAUAUUACACAGAACACCGAUAGCGAAGGCAGCUCACUAGGCCUGAAUUGACGCUCAGGGACGAAAGCGUGGGGAUCAAACAGGAUUAGAUACCCUGGUAGUCCACGCUGUAAACGAUGAUUACUCGUUUUCGGCGAUAUACAGUCGGAGACUAAGCGAAAGUGAUAAGUAAUCCACCCGGGGAGUACGAUCGCAAGGUUGAAACUCAAAGGAAUUGACGGGGGCCCGCACAAGCGGUGGANCAUGUGGUUUAAUUCGAUGAUACGCGAGGAACCUUACCAGGGCUUAAAUGCAAGUUGAAUGAUGUGGAAACACGUCAGUCNUCGNANANUUGC